UACUCAGAUGAUUCCAUGGUAAC
rnacentral:piRNA from 1 species